rnacentral:rRNA from 1 species
GGUUAAGCGACUAAGCGUACACGGUGGAUGCCCUGGCAGUCAGAGGCGAUGAAGGACGUGCUAAUCUGCGAAAAGCGUCGGUAAGGUGAUAUGAACCGUUAUAACCGGCGAUGUCCGAAUGGGGAAACCCAGUGCAAUUCGUUGCACUAUCGUUAACUGAAUACAUAGGUUAACGAGGCGAACCGGGGGAACUGAAACAUCUAAGUACCCCGAGGAAAAGAAAUCAACCGAGAUUCCCCCAGUAGCGGCGAGCGAACGGGGAGCAGCCCAGAGUCUGAAUCAGCUUGUGUGUUAGUGGAACGGUCUGGAAAGUCCGACGGUACAGGGUGAUAGUCCCGUACACCAAAAUGCACAGGCUGUGAACUCGAAGAGUAGGGCGGGACACGUGGUAUCCUGUCUGAAUAUGGGGGGACCAUCCUCCAAGGCUAAAUACUCCUGACUGACCGAUAGUGAACCAGUACCGUGAGGGAAAGGCGAAAAGAACCCCGGCGAGGGGAGUGAAAAAGAACCUGAAACCGUGUACGUACAAGCAGUGGGAGCACCUUCGGGUGUGACUGCGUACCUUUUGUAUAAUGGGUCAGCGACUUAUAUUCUGUAGCAAGGUUAACCGUAUAGGGGAGCCGCAGGGAAACCGAGUCUUAACUGGGCGUUAAGUUGCAGGGUAUAGACCCGAAACCCGGUGAUCUAGCCAUGGGCAGGUUGAAGGUUGGGUAACACUAACUGGAGGACCGAACCGACUAAUGUUGAAAAAUUAGCGGAUGACUUGUGGCUGGGGGUGAAAGGCCAAUCAAACCGGGAGAUAGCUGGUUCUCCCCGAAAGCUAUUUAGGUAGCGCCUCGUGAAUUCAUCUUCGGGGGUAGAGCACUGUUUCGGCUAGGGGGUCAUCCCGACUUACCAACCCGAUGCAAACUACGAAUACCGAAGAAUGUUAUCACGGGAGACACACGGCGGGUGCUAACGUCCGUCGUGAAGAGGGAAACAACCCAGACCGCCAGCUAAGGUCCCAAAGUCAUGGUUAAGUGGGAAACGAUGUGGGAAGGCACAGACAGCCAGGAUGUUGGCUUAGAAGCAGCCAUCAUUUAAAGAAAGCGUAAUAGCUCACUGGUCGAGUCGGCCUGCGCGGAAGAUGUAACGGGGCUAAACCAUGCACCGAAGCUGCGGCAGCGACACUAUGUGUUGUUGGGUAGGGGAGCGUUCUGUAAGCCUGCGAAGGUGUGCUGUGAGGCAUGCUGGAGGUAUCAGAAGUGCGAAUGCUGACAUAAGUAACGAUAAAGCGGGUGAAAAGCCCGCUCGCCGGAAGACCAAGGGUUCCUGUCCAACGUUAAUCGGGGCAGGGUGAGUCGACCCCUAAGGCGAGGCCGAAAGGCGUAGUCGAUGGGAAACAGGUUAAUAUUCCUGUACUUGGUGUUACUGCGAAGGGGGGACGGAGAAGGCUAUGUUAGCCGGGCGACGGUUGUCCCGGUUUAAGCAUGUAGGCUGGUUGUCCAGGCAAAUCCGGAUAAUCAAGGCUGAGGUGUGAUGACGAGGCACUACGGUGCUGAAGUAACAAAUGCCCUGCUUCCAGGAAAAGCCUCUAAGCAUCAGGUAACAUCAAAUCGUACCCCAAACCGACACAGGUGGUCAGGUAGAGAAUACCAAGGCGCUUGAGAGAACUCGGGUGAAGGAACUAGGCAAAAUGGUGCCGUAACUUCGGGAGAAGGCACGCUGGUGUGUAGGUGAAGUCCCUGCGGAUGGAGCUGAGACCAGUCGAAGAUACCAGCUGGCUGCAACUGUUUAUUAAAAACACAGCACUGUGCAAACACGAAAGUGGACGUAUACGGUGUGACGCCUGCCCGGUGCCGGAAGGUUAAUUGAUGGGGUUAUCCGUAAGGAGAAGCUCUUGAUCGAAGCCCCGGUAAACGGCGGCCGUAACUAUAACGGUCCUAAGGUAGCGAAAUUCCUUGUCGGGUAAGUUCCGACCUGCACGAAUGGCGUAAUGAUGGCCAGGCUGUCUCCACCCGAGACUCAGUGAAAUUGAACUCGCUGUGAAGAUGCAGUGUACCCGCGGCAAGACGGAAAGACCCCGUGAACCUUUACUAUAGCUUGACACUGAACAUUGAGCCUUGAUGUGUAGGAUAGGUGGGAGGCUUUGAAGCGUGGACGCCAGUCUGCGUGGAGCCAACCUUGAAAUACCACCCUUUAAUGUUUGAUGUUCUAACGUUGGCCCCUUACCGGGGUUGCGGACAGUGUCUGGUGGGUAGUUUGACUGGGGCGGUCUCCUCCCAAAGCGUAACGGAGGAGCACGAAGGUUAGCUAAUCCUGGUCGGACAUCAGGAGGUUAGUGCAAUGGCAUAAGCUAGCUUGACUGCGAGCGUGACGGCGCGAGCAGGUGCGAAAGCAGGUCAUAGUGAUCCGGUGGUUCUGAAUGGAAGGGCCAUCGCUCAACGGAUAAAAGGUACUCCGGGGAUAACAGGCUGAUACCGCCCAAGAGUUCAUAUCGACGGCGGUGUUUGGCACCUCGAUGUCGGCUCAUCACAUCCUGGGGCUGAAGUAGGUCCCAAGGGUAUGGCUGUUCGCCAUUUAAAGUGGUACGCGAGCUGGGUUUAGAACGUCGUGAGACAGUUCGGUCCCUAUCUGCCGUGGGCGCUGGAGAAUUGAGGGGGGCUGCUCCUAGUACGAGAGGACCGGAGUGGACGCAUCACUGGUGUUCGGGUUGUCAUGCCAAUGGCACUGCCCGGUAGCUAAAUGCGGAAGAGAUAAGUGCUGAAAGCAUCUAAGCACGAAACUUGCCCCGAGAUGAGUUCUCCCUGAGACUU